UACGGAGGGUGCAAGCGUUAUCCGGAUUCACUGGGUUUAAAGGGUGCGUAGGUGGGCUGGUAAGUCCGUGGUGAAAUCUCCAAGCUUAACUUGGAAACUGCCGUGGAUACUAUUAGUCUUGAAUCUCGUGGAGGUAAGCGGAAUAUGUCAUGUAGCGGUGAAAUGCUUAGAUAUGACAUAGAACACCGAUAGCGAAGGCAGCUUGCUACACGAGUAUUGACACUGAGGCACGAAAGCGUGGGGAUCGAACAGG
rnacentral:rRNA from 1 species